CCGGCGCACGGGUGAGUAACGCGUAUGCAACCUGCCCGUUUCAGCGGGAUAACCCGGAGAAAUCCGGCCUAAUACCGCAUGUGGGCUGAGGGGAGGCAUCUUCUUUCGGCCAAAGGAGGCGACUCCGGAGACGGAUGGGCAUGCGUGACAUUAGCUAGUUGGCGGGGUAACGGCCCACCAAGGCGACGAUGUCUAGGGGUUCUGAGAGGAAGGUCCCCCACACUGGUACUGAGACACGGACCAGACUCCUACGGGAGGCAGCAG
rnacentral:rRNA from 1 species